AUACAUAGGGGGCGAGCGUUGUCCGGAAUGAUUGGGCGUAAAGGGCGCGUAGGCGGCCCGGUAAGUCUGGAGUGAAAGUCCUGUUUUUAAGAUGGGAAUUGCUUUGGAUACUGUCGGGCUUGAGUGCAGGAGAGGUAAGUGGAAUUCCCAGUGUAGCGGUGAAAUGCGUAGAGAUUGGGAGGAACACCAGUGGCGAAGGCGGCCUGCUGGACGACAACUGACGCUGAGGCGCGAAAGCGUGGGGAGCAAACAGGAUUAGAUACCCUGGUAGUCCACGCUGUAAACGAUGAAUACUAGGUGUGGGGGGACUGACCUCCUCCGUGCCGCAGUUAACACAAUAAGUAUUCCACCUGGGGAGUACGAUCGCAAGAUUGAAACUCAAAUGAAUUGACGGGG
rnacentral:rRNA from 1 species